GACUAGUUACGCCAUUUCCCUUCAUAUUUUUGGAAUGAAAUGAAGUUGAAAGAAAAUGUCCUUUCCUCUGAAAAGAGAGCAGAAGAGUCUAGGCACCAGAAAGCCCUCCUGUUGAUGCCCAAAGGAAGCUGUGUCUCCAGUUCAGCCUCUGUCAAGCUCUGGAUGGUGCCAGUGGCAGGAACCUGCCUGUAAUGUCCUUCUGCAGCUGUCUGCAACGAAACUCUGUCUCUGCACACGGAUGCCGGUUCCGUUCAGAUGAGAAGAAAGAAAAAGACUACUUGACUUUUUCACGGUGCCUGUGGCUCCCUUAGGACAGCAGAUUUACAUUCUUACCAUGAAGUUUGCAAAGUGAAUUAUGGAGCUGAGGCUGUGUUCUGCCGAGCGUGGUGAAGGGAUUGCAGAGCCAUGCAUUGGGUAUCUAAGGGGUGUGUGGCUGGAUUCAGUGGAUCUACCAGCACCUAGACAACUGGCAAAUGCAGCUAUUGUGAGACCUCCUUGUGUCAUGAAGCUGGUGACUGUCUGAGCAUGUUUUCAGGAGGGCUGCAGGAGGUGCCCACAGUGACCCAAGGAAUGUAUAAAUAUAUCCAGCAAAUGGAGCACACCAUUGCCAUAGAUUUCUAGAUGCUACUAAAAUACAAUUCCGGGGGCUGUUGUACUGGCAAAGCGUUCUGGAUCCAUUUUAAAGAAGACAGGGAUGGAUGUGGUGAUACUUCUGGCCUCCUAAGGAAUGGGAGCCUGAACCUUAAAAUUUUCUUCAGCCUUCAAGUAUCACUUUACCUGGUUUGUUACUAAUUGAAAAUGACUUCUGCUGGAAGAUUUGUCAUCAGUUUUCUGCAAGUGAAUCCAAACUGCAUACCUGCUGGACAACUGCCAAGGUCCAUCAGAUGUUUACGUUAAUGUUGGCUGUGUUUAACCUGACCAUUCUCAUCUGGAACACAAGUUGCUCAUAUUGAUUAUGAGAGGAAAUCUACUAUAAAUAUUUUCUUAUAAAUGUCAUAAUUCUGGCAACAGACCAUACGUCACUUUGUAUACACACAUAUGUCACUUUGUGUAUUAGAACCUGAGGCUGCCUUUUUCCUGAAAUCACUGUUUCUUCAAUAUCAGUUUCAACUGAUACAGCUUGGAGGUCAACAAAUAUCUCAUCUGGCAAAGUACAAGAAUGAAUGCACUUCAGAAAGAAUAUCCUAUCCAGAAAGAAGAGCCUUGCAUCUGUACAGGCUGUUGACCAAGUGUCUGGGGAGCAGCUCUGCUGAAAAGGAUCUGAAGUCCUGGUGGGCAGUAGACUAAAGAUGAGUCAACAGCAUGUCCUGGCAAUGAUGAAGCCUAAUGCUGUCCUGGGCAGAGCAUAGCCAGUAGAUCAAGGGGGAUGAUUAUCCCCCUUCACUUGGCACUCUUGAGACCAGAUCUAGAAUACUGCAUCCAGUUUUGAAGUGCCCCAGGACAAAAAAGACAUUGAUGAACAGGAGUGAUUUCAGCAGAGGGUCCCCAAGAUGGUUGGGAGCUCGAGCGUGUGCCCUGUGAGGAAAGCCUAAGAGACUUGAGUUUGCUCAGCCUGGAGAACAGAAGGUUUCAGGGUGCUAAUAGCAGCCUUACCAUACCUGCCAGCAAGCUAUCAAGAAGAUGGAGCCAGGCUCUUCACAGUAGUACUUGGGUGGGAGUUCAAGAUACAACAGAUAUAGGUUGAAAAAGAAAGGUUCUUGCUGGAUAGGAGGAAAACUUUAUUGUUUUGGGGACAAUAAAGCAUCGGAACAAGUUGUCUGGAGAGGCUGUGCAGUCUGCCUGCUUGGAGUUUUUCAAGACCUGACUGGAUAAUGCCUUGAACCACCUAGUGUGAUCUCACACCUGACCUUGCUUUGAGCUAGGGACCUCCUAAGGUCCUUUCCAGACUGGAUUAUUGUAUGAUUCUGUGAACUUCUACAAGAAGAAGAGUAAACUAGAGAUAAUGAGGAGGAAGUUGUGUAAGUGAAUAUAUUCUCAAAGCCUUUAAAAAUAAAUUUAAAAAAACAAGUUGAAACCAUGGACUACCAGUUUGAGCUGAUUGCUGCACAUCACCGAUACAUCACAUUGCAAUUUCAAAACAAUGCCAAACAUUCAUCUAAAGCAGCCAGAAAAUGUCAAGAGCCACGAAUCAAUCAGAGCAUGACAUUUUAAAUAAUUGCAUCCUAGACUGAGGAAAAACAGAUCUCUGAGAAGCAGGGAGAAUAACAGCCUGGAGAAUGCAGCCGAGCUAUGCCACUGGACUACGGAAGCAAGGCCAUUGACAAUCAAGAAAGCAGCAGCAGGAGAUCAGCAUAUUCCCAUGUUGCUGAAAGGAUGUUUGGAUCAGUGAAGUGCAUCUGUCAUGCUAUCUGCUGUCACCUCAUGAUCCUCCUUCAUCUCCCACUAGUUUAAUACUUGCAGGCUCAGAAAUCCCUGGCAGGCCAAAAUCUUCGGGGCGCCAUUAGAGUGUGAAGCGUAGAACUGAAAAAAUGAGAUGGAUGCUCGAAUGAGGACAGCCCCAGCUGACCUUAAGGCUCACCAUGGAGCUCAUACUCAGCCUCUCUAUCUCAGGAACGUGGAAGGUCGCCGUUUCCUCACCGUUCCCACUGCUUUCUGACUCCCCACAAACCAGCAGGGACCGAGAAUCUUUCCAUGGCUGAUUCAGGCUGACAUGUGGCUGUGGCCCAAACUGAAGCAGCGCAUUCGUCCAGUGAAGUUCCCUGCCGCUACCAUGAUCCUCUGCAACUCCAGCAUGCUCUGGCUCUUUGGUGUUCGGGAGGAGAAGGGAUGUCUCCACAUACCCUCAGAUCCACACCUUCAUCACCUGUUGCUCACUCAGAUUCAUCUGCGUCACAUCCAAGAUCUUGUGCAUCUUAACUUUUUCCAGGCUGUGUGUGAGCCACUCUGAAGUAGUUUAUACAGUGACAGAGAGAGAUUUUUCCCUAUGAAAAGACUUUUUAUGACGUGACCCAGGACAGAGCUGUGGGUAACAAGUAAGAAAAAUCAGCGAAGCCAACCAAAUGGAGUAAUCUGCAGGCUGUACUUGCAUCUACACAGACUUGUUCUUCCCACCCUACCCAAGUAAAUAGUCUUUCUUUAACCUUCUGUAAGAAAAAAAGAAUCAAAUAAUGGACAAGAUAAGAAAUCAUAAAGGAAAAAGUCUUUGGUGAAAAUUAUGUCAUGGAAGUUUAAAAAGGUGUUUUGUCUUUGGAAGCUAAUUCCAGUUCAACCUAGAGCAGCGAUUCAGGGAUUGUUUUUGUAAUAUAAGUGAAAGUGAAUGGGAGUCCUGGGAAUUCUCAAAUUAUGAUUGCCUGCAAAUCAGAUGUCAGAUUUUUGAUGUUUUCAGAGAGCUGGGGUCAUAUACUUUGUGAUGACAUAGGGCAAAGCUUCAAUUCCUGGUCAUCUAGACUGUACAGACACACACAAGGUUAUGCAGUUUAAGGAACUCUGGUAUCAGAAGAAUGCCAUGGAUCUGCCAUGGGCCUCCCUUUCACAGACACUCUGGAGACUGAUUAGGAAAUGUAGGCACACACAUGCACUGUCAGAGUAAUGCUCAGGAAUGGAAAGUGUUGUCCUGAGAUGCCUAAUACCAGUUCUGGGUCUCACUGUGGACAUUGCAUCCAGACCGCAUCAAAUUAAGCUCAACUAUUUCCGCUGCUCAGCAGAUUUCACCAAAGUACAUGGAAGAAUGGCUACAAAGACUACUCCCCAGAGAAAGGGGCAUGAGUUCUGAGGCAACAGCACAGGGCAGAUACUUAGGUUGUAUAAAUCAGCAGAUCUGCAUUCAUGUGAAAGGAACGAUGACAGCUGAGGAAGUGGCUGAAGUGGUAUCUUCACGCAACUGUUUGAAAAGCAAUGUGAAAAGGUGUUAUGAAUAACAGUGAAGCAAACCAUUUUCAGCUUUUGGAGACUUUCUUUGCUCCUUGAUUGUGAACCUCAUCCUGCAUGAGUCACACAGCCACAAGUUCCAAUGGUACAAUGUGGAUUUGUCUGUGGUAGAAAGAAAAACAUCACAGUUAAGAAAAUGUAACUAUUUGAAUCUACAAUUUAAAUCCAGGGGAUGCAACCAACACUGUAUUGCCAUAGAACUCUUUUAUUGUCUAGCCUUUUCCUGGCUGCAGAAUGAAAGCAUUGACCUUGACUGAAGAAAUCCAUAAAGACAGAAGGAAUCAAUUUUAAAAAUAAAGUGUUUGUGAAGGAGAUGAAUGGUCGUGGAGGUGGAGAGAAAGAACAGCAACCUACAUGAGAAUGUAUCAAGCAGAAGAGCAGCUGAUCAGACUGGAGAGAAGCAGAUGUGACAUGAUGUAGUGUUGCUUUCCAUGCUGAAGAAAUCCUACCUGGAGAGUUUCUUGAACAACAGAUCCAGCUGGGAUAUUGUGAAAACAGUUAUUCUGACAAGAUUUUAACUCAAAAAGGUUUCAUUUCUUCAAUCUGUCUUUGGAAACAAGAAAAGCAUCCUUUGGAACACCACGGAUCUCAGCAAUGAACCUUGGUCAAGCAAAGCAAUUGAGAAGAACGGUUUAGUUAUAUGGAUACUAUUGCAUCUGCAGAAGAAAAGCAGCCUGAUCUCCAGCGCAUGUAAAACUGAUCGGAUCUUUGUAUUUUUAAACUAGGGUCACAGAGAGGAGAAUCAGGGCUACUUUGUGUAUAAUUUAGCAGAAAGCAACUUUCUAAGACAUAAAAACUAAUUCUCAGAGUUCACAGUCUUGUCUGAGAACAGAAAUGAAAUUUCAGCCAAACCCUUUUACUUUUACCCAUCGUUGACUGACCUUUUCUCUCAGAGCAUCGCCCAGCUCUGAAGGAAGCCUCUGGAUUUUUGACAUUACAGACUCUCCUUGAAAUCUGUCUUUUUUUUUUUUCUUCUGUUCUCACUGUCACUAUGUGUUGUCCAGCCUUCAGUCAAGAGGAUCAUUUUUGUUCAGUACUAACAUCUGAUUCCUUCUACAACUAGCCAAUUUUCUUCAUUCUUUUCAGUCUGCAGAGCAUCCCAGAGGCUGUAAGAGUUGUGUUACCAUUCAGUGUCUCAGCUUUCAGCACAAGUAUGCCUUGAACCCCAAAAUAUUCAUGAUCUUGCUGUCAUGUGGGAGAUGGUCAUCAUGUGGAGUGGUGAAUACUACAUAUAGAAAAGUUUUUGAGAAUUAUUGGAAAACUGUUUUUGAAGUGUUAUUUACUCUACUGUAUUUUGCAUAUCAGUUCAUAAAAUAGUGGUUAGUGGAAUACUCUUACCCUUUCACACAUAUUUUGAAUCAGCAAAAUAUUUAAGUGAGGGUCCAAAGUGAAACCUUUGAAGCCCCUACUGCACGGAAGGUAAAGUAGCUCUACCCUUCCUUAUGUGGUGUAUGCGUUUUUGGUCUCACGGUGAGAAAACAGCUGUGUUCACAUGCAUAAUAAAACUGACAUUCAUAGUCAAAUGAUUUCAGUCACAUCCAGAUUUCCCUUUAUACCACAGUUGGAAUGGGGCUGGUAUCCUGCUUUAUACAGACCUAAAUCAAUCAGGAGGCCUUUCUCAAAAGGGUGUUUGUAUCCACUGAGUCCACUUGACAUCAUGGAAGUGUUAUAAAGGAGCCUUUAUGUGAUGGAGAAUCAAACCCUCCUAUAUUAGUGUAGAAAAACAUAAAAUAUGGUAAGUAAAUAUCUCAAAAGAAAUAAAUGAGCAUAAAGAGAAAACAAAUAAAAAGAAAGAGACCUGAGGGAAGAUUAUUUGGCUUUCAGAAUUGCCAAGGUAUUAAUCUAAGUUGCAUUUUGGUUUCUGUCCAAAAUGAUCUGAUAACCUCCUGAAGCACUCUCUCUGAAAAAAAGAGAGGCCGAGUUUGCCAGAAUCCACUAGUAUGCAGUUAAACACUUUUGAAGGCCUGCCUGGAGAGCAAUAGCUUGCAGUUUAUUUUGUUGUUUCAAGCAAUUUUUACAUCAAAUGGAAUAGCCUCCAUUUACUAUGACCCUUGGCUUGUAAAUACUUUGGUACUUUUUUUUUUAUAGUUGACUGUAGACCAGUUAAAGGUGAGCAUUCAUCAUCUAAAGGACAUUGGGCACAUGUUGCCAGGGACAUAAUUAAAACAAGCUGAUUAUUGUUUCUUAAAAAAAGUUUAUAUUUAUAUUUCUUAAAAGCAGUUCCUCUGUCAAGUUCUAUGAGCAUUUUCAGAAUAAAACAAAUCCAAGAAGAAGGAAACUCAGUUCGGCAGGAUUUCGAGAAGAAUGUGCAACAGUUUGUGCAAUGUCUUGGUCUGCAUUUAGAGUUGCCGUUUCUAAAUGGUCACUAGAUGGCCAUGACAGGCUUUCAGGCAGAUCAGAGACAAAGAGUCUGAUCCAUCCAGAGAGUGGAAGGAGUGAUUUAUGGGAAAGUGGUAAAAGAGGAAAAUAAGAGACAUGAUGUUUGGAAGCAAAGAGAAUCCUUUUCAUUAGAGGAAUGGAAAUUGGGAAAAGUGUUAUCAGGUUUCUGAUUUCCCUAGCUGUUUUAACCACUCUGAUAUAAAAUAUGACUCCUCCCUACAGUUUUGCUUCCUUAAGUCUAAGCUUAUGUCGUAGCUGUAAUAGCGGUGCUACUACUACAGCACUGAGUAAAUAAGUGGUAUGGUUAGAAGCUGAACAGUGCUAAGAGCAAACUUGAUCAAUCUGCAAAUUUGGGAAUACUAACAAAUAAUGGCAGAGCUGUGGUUUUGUUGCAAGCACUUUGCAAGCAUCAGUGCACAGUUUGGCCAUGAAUGGAGCAAAUCAAGUAGGAGAGAAAGCAUUUCAUUACCUGUUGGAAACUACAAGCUAUAUUUAAGCAGUGGAAAUGAUUUUACCUUGAAUGAACAUUGUUAUUAGGUAGUGUUUGCCCAGGUCUAACUUUGUCAGAUCCGAAGGUCUGGUAAAGUGAUCUUCCACCCAUCUGUUCCUCAAAAUCUCUCUUUCUUUGGGGCAGGCAGAGGCCAGACAACUCCAGGAUGUUGAAAGAAGAGGAGUGGGGCCUCUCUUCCAUGCCUUUCCUUGCAGCCCUGCUUCCUCACCAUUGAUUUUCUUUCUAGUGAUAGAGAAACACACUGGCCUUCACUUUACUUAUGCAUUUUAAAAUAAAAGUGCACAUUUCCUUUGUGAUGGCUGAACAGUCUUCUGUUUAUUAAAAGCUUGUUUCGCUGCCUUGAGAGUGUCUCCAUUUGUGAGAUAGCCUUUGCUAUGUGGUGUAUGAUGAUGAUUGCUAUAACAAAU